UCUUAACAACUACCUUGUUUUGGAAGGAAGAGGAAAUGGAAGAGAUGCUUUGGAAGUAAAAGCUUUCAACGACAUCACCCAGAUGAUAUUUCAAAGGCCAGCUCUUUUUACAGUAAACCAGGAUGCAGCUGAUUAAACAGACUCCAGUAAGAAUUCUUAGUGUUGAUCAAACAAGUCCACAGCUAUACCCAUCUAGAGUGGGAAUCAUCUUGGAAGAAAACUUUGUAAAGGUUGAACCGACCGAUCUCAGGCCUUCUAUGUCCAUUUUAGACUGAUUUAUGCCCUGCACCUGGACUGUGUUUGAAAAGCACUUUAUUUUUUAUUCAGCAGGUAAUGCUCAA